rnacentral:rRNA from 1 species
AUUGAACGCUGGCGGCAGGCCUAACACAUGGAAGUCGAGCGGAGAUGAGGUGCUUGCACCUUAUCUUAGCGGCGGAAGGGUGAGUAAUGCUUAGGAAUCUGCAUAUUAGUGGGGGACAACAUUCCGAAAGGAAUGCUAAUAACGCAUACGACCGGAGGGGGUAAGGUGGGGAUCUUCGGACCUAUCGCGCUUGGAUGCACCCAGGUGGGAUGAGCUAGUUGGUGCGGUAACGGCUCACCAAGGCGACGAUCUCUAGCUGGUCUGAGAGGAUGACCAGCCACACUGGAACUGAGACACGGUCCAGACUCCUACGGGAGGCAGCAGUGGGGAAUAUUGCACAAUGGGGGAAACCCUGAUGCAGCCAUGCCGCGUGUGUGAAGAAGGCCUUCGGGUUGUAAAGCACUUUCAGCGAGGAGGAAAGGGUGGCAGCUAAUACCUGUCAUCUGUGACGUUACUCGCAGAAGAAGCACCGGCUAACUCCGUGCCAGCAGCCGCCGUAAUAC